GGAUUUGGCGGCUUCUUUACCGCAAGCUGUUUUAUCAGCAAGGUCUUUAUGACCUGUACCUUGUGCUGACCUCCUAUCCCAUCCUGUGACUUAGAAUCCUUUAACUGGGAAUGCAGCCCAGUAGGUCUCAGUCUCAGUUUACCCAGCUCCUAUUCGAGAUGGAGUUGCUCUUGUUCAAACGCCUCUGCCAGACCCACCAGUGUCUCUAACAAACCCGGAAUCCAGUUGGCCUUGAGGCAUGAGACUUCAACCCCCUUUACCACCCCUUCCCCCUCACUCACACCGUUGCUCCUCACCCUUCACACCUCAUCCUUUCCUAUAGAGAUCUUCCUGUCUGUGGUCUCUGUCACCCAGGCUGGAGUGCAGUGGCGCAGUCAUGGCUCCCUGUAACCUCAACCUCUCAGACUCCAGCAAUCCUCCUGCGACAGAUGUCAAAGAAAGAAAUGCAGAUCCUUCAGUUCAACUCUCAGUUGCAGUAAAGCCACCUACAGGAUCAGGUCAUACUAAACUGAAAUGUUGUUAUUAUCCUUUUCUGUAAGGGAGGCAGUCAGUGGUGAAUGCUGGCCUCACUGAUUACUCACCUGGGGACCUUUCUGAGGAUCAGUUCUCAUCUAGAAAAUGGGACAACUGCCAGAGCACUGAAGAAAAUACAGAAAACGGCCCCCACACAUCAGCAUGUUUGGUUGCUGCUAGUCUACUUGGAUCUGAGUAUUUUUUCUUGCCAUGAGUGUGACGUGAUUAUCUUCUCCUACAUCACACUGAAGUUUUAUGAAUGAUGCUUUAAAGUGGGAAGGGCCAGAGAGUUAAUAUUUUCGGCUUCUUGGGCCAGCUGGUCUCGGUGGCAGCUACUCAGCUCUGCCACUGCGGCAGAGAACGGCCACAGGCGAUAUGGAAAUGAUAGGCGUGGCUGUGUUCCAAUAAAACUUUAUUUACAAAA